rnacentral:rRNA from 1 species
UACAGAGGUCCCAAGCGUUUGUUCGGAUUCAUUGGGCGUAAAGGGUGCGUAGGCGGCCUAUUAAGUCAGUGGUGAAAUACUCUAGCUUAACUAGAGGGGUGCCAUUGAUACUGAUGGGCUUGAGUACAGAUGAGGUAGGCGGAAUUGACGGUGUAGCGGUGAAAUGCUUAGAUAUCGUCAAGAACACCUAUAGCGAAGGCAGCUUACUAGGCUGUAACUGACGCUGAGGCACGAAAAGUGUGGGGGAUCAAACAGGG